GACGAACGCUGGCGGCGUGCUUAACACAUGCAAGUCGAACGAAGAGCGACGGAAGCUUGCUUCUAUCAAUCUUAGUGGCGAACGGGUGAGUAACGCGUAAUCAACCUGCCCUUCAGAGGGGGACAACAGUUGGAAACGACUGCUAAUACCGCAUACGAUCUAACCUCGGCAUCGAGGAUAGAUGAAAGGUGGCCUCUACAUGUAAGCUAUCACUGAAGGAGGGGAUUGCGUCUGAUUAGCUAGUUGGAGGGGUAACGGCCCACCAAGGCGAUGAUCAGUAGCCGGUCUGAGAGGAUGAACGGCCACAUUGGGACUGAGACACGGCCCAGACUCCUACGGGAGGCAGCAGUGGGGAAUCUUCCGCAAUGGACGAAAGUCUGACGGAGCAACGCCGCGUGAGUGAUGACGGCCUUCGGGUUGUAAAGCUCUGUUAAUCGGGACGUAAGGCCUUCUUGCGAAUAGUGAGAAGGAUUGACGGUACCGGAAUAGAAAGCCACGGCUAACUACGUG
rnacentral:rRNA from 1 species